CGGUAGGGUGGCUGAGAAAAAGUGGUAGAUUGUAAAUCUUCAAAUGGGAUGAAAUAUGUCCCCCAUACC
rnacentral:tRNA from 1 species